rnacentral:rRNA from 1 species
GAUGAACGCUGGCGGCGUGCCUAAUACAUGCAAGUCGAGCGAACAGACGAGGAGCUUGCUCCUCUGACGUUAGCGGCGGACGGGUGAGUAACACGUGGAUAACCUACCUAUAAGACUGGGAUAACUUCGGGAAACCGGAGCUAAUACCGGAUAAUAUAUUGAACCGCAUGGUUCAAUAGUGAAAGACGGUUUUGCUGUCACUUAUAGAUGUAUCCGCGCCGCAUUAGCUAGUUGGUAAGGUAACGGCUUACCAAGGCAACGAUGCGUAGCCGACCUGAGAGGGUGAUCGGCCACACGGGAACUGAGACACGGUCCAGACUCCUACGGGAGGCAGCAGUAGGGAAUCUUCCGCAAUGGGCGAAAGCUUGACGGAGCAACGCCGCGUGAGUGAUGAAGGUCUUCGGAUCGUAAAACUCUGUUAUUAGGGAAGAACAAAUGUGUAAGUAACUAUGCACGUCUUGACGGUACCUAAUCAGAAAGCCACGGCUAACUACGUG